GUUCCCGCAGGCCAGCGCCACCUCAUUCCCCCCACCCACCCAGUGCCCUCUAAGCACUUGGCCGCAGGUUCGAGUCCUGCCGGGGGCG
rnacentral:tRNA from 1 species